GACAACUCUUAGCGGUGGA
rnacentral:rRNA from 1 species